rnacentral:rRNA from 1 species
UUCUUUAAGGUAAAUAAUUUAAAGUAAAACCUGCUCAAUGAAUUCAAUAUUAAAUAGCCGCAGAAUACCUGUGCUAAGGUAGCAUAAUAAUUUGCUUUAUAAUUAAAAGAUAGAAUGAAAGGUUAAACGAUUAGUAAUUGUUUCUUAAAUAAUAAUUAAUUUGUAUUUUAAGUAAAAACACUUAAAUUAAAAGACUAGACGACAAGACCCUAAUAAACUUAUCUAUUUAGCUGGGGUAGCAAAUUAAUAAAAUUUUAUAAUAUAAUCAUUACACAAAUUUUAAUUAAAUCAAGACUAGUUACUAUAGGGAUAACAGCGUAAUAUUUUUUUAGAGUUCUUAUCAAAAAAAAAGAUUACGACCUCGAUGUUGAAUUAUUUUCCUAAUUAUAACGUAACCGUUAAUUAAGGUAGUCUGUUCGACUAUUAAAUUUUU